rnacentral:rRNA from 1 species
UUAAAUUGAAGAGUUUGAUCAUGGCUCAGAUUGAACGCUGGCGGCAGGCCUAACACAUGCAAGUCGAACGGUAACAGGAAACAGCUUGCUGUUUCGCUGACGAGUGGCGGACGGGUGAGUAAUGUCUGGGAAACUGCCUGAUGGAGGGGGAUAACUACUGGAAACGGUAGCUAAUACCGCAUAACGUCGCAAGACCAAAGAGGGGGACCUUAGGGCCUCUUGCCAUCGGAUGUGCCCAGAUGGGAUUAGCUAGUAGGUGGGGUAAAGGCUCACCUAGGCGACGAUCCCUAGCUGGUCUGAGAGGAUGACCAGCCACACUGGAACUGAGACACGGUCCAGACUCCUACGGGAGGCAGCAGUGGGGAAUAUUGCACAAUGGGCGCAAGCCUGAUGCAGCCAUGCCGCGUGUAUGAAGAAGGCCUUCGGGUUGUAAAGUACUUUCAGCGGGGAGGAAGGGAGUAAAGUUAAUACCUUUGCUCAUUGACGUUACCCGCAGAAGAAGCACCGGCUAACUCCGUGCCAGCAGCCGCGGUAAUACGGAGGGUGCAAGCGUUAAUCGGAAUUACUGGGCGUAAAGCGCACGCAGGCGGUUUGUUAAGUCAGAUGUGAAAUUCCCGGGCUCAACCUGGGAACUGCAUCUGAUACUGGCAAGCUUGAGUCUCGUAGAGGGGGGUAGAAUUCCAGGUGUAGCGGUGAAAUGCGUAGAGAUCUGGAGGAAUACCGGUGGCGAAGGCGGCCCCCUGGACGAAGACUGACGCUCAGGUGCGAAAGCGUGGGGAGCAAACAGGAUUAGAUACCCUGGUAGUCCACGCCGUAAACGAUGUCGACUUGGAGGUUGUGCCCUUGAGGCGUGGCUUCCGGAGCUAACGCGUUAAGUCGACCGCCUGGGGAGUACGGCCGCAAGGUUAAAACUCAAAUGAAUUGACGGGGGCCCGCACAAGCGGUGGAGCAUGUGGUUUAAUUCGAUGCAACGCGAAGAACCUUACCUGGUCUUGACAUCCACGGAAGUUUUCAGAGAUGAGAAUGUGCCUUCGGGAACCGUGAGACAGGUGCUGCAUGGCUGUCGUCAGCUCGUGUUGUGAAAUGUUGGGUUAAGUCCCGCAACGAGCGCAACCCUUAUCCUUUGUUGCCAGCGGUCCGGCCGGGAACUCAAAGGAGACUGCCAGUGAUAAACUGGAGGAAGGUGGGGAUGACGUCAAGUCAUCAUGGCCCUUACGACCAGGGCUACACACGUGCUACAAUGGCGCAUACAAAGAGAAGCGACCUCGCGAGAGCAAGCGGACCUCAUAAAGUGCGUCGUAGUCCGGAUUGGAGUCUGCAACUCGACUCCAUGAAGUCGGAAUCGCUAGUAAUCGUGGAUCAGAAUGCCACGGUGAAUACGUUCCCGGGCCUUGUACACACCGCCCGUCACACCAUGGGAGUGGGUUGCAAAAGAAGUAGGUAGCUUAACCUUCGGGAGGGCGCUUACCACUUUGUGAUUCAUGACUGGGGUGAAGUCGUAACAAGGUAACCGUAGGGGAACCUGCGGUUGGAUCACCUCCUUACCUUAAAGAAGC